rnacentral:rRNA from 1 species
AUUGAACGCUGGCGGCAGGCUUAACACAUGCAAGUCGAGCGGGGUGAUGGUGCUUGCACUAUCACUUAGCGGCGGACGGGUGAGUAAUGCUUAGGAAUCUGCCUAUUAGUGGGGGACAACAUCUCGAAAGGGAUGCUAAUACCGCAUACGUCCUACGGGAGAAAGCAGGGGAUCACUUGUGACCUUGCGCUAAUAGAUGAGCCUAAGUCGGAUUAGCUAGUUGGUGGGGCAAAGGCCUACCAAGGCGACGAUCUGUAGCGGGUCUGAGAGGAGGAUCCGCCACACUGGGACUGAGACCCGGCCCAGACUCCUACGGGAGGCAGCGGUGGGGAAUAUUGGACAAUGGGGGGAACCCUGAUCCAGCCAUGCCGCGUGUGUGAAGAAGGCCUUAUGGUUGUAAAGCACUUUAAGCGAGGAGGAGGCUCUUUUGGUUAAUACCCAAGAUGAGUGGACGUUACUCGCAGAAUAAGCACCGGCUAACUCUGUGCCAGCCGCCCCGUAA